rnacentral:rRNA from 1 species
CGGUAAUUCCAGCUCCAAUAGCGUAUACUAACGUUGUUGCAGUUAAAAAGCUCGUAGUUGGAUUUCUGGACGAUGACGUUUGGGUGGAGCCUCGUUGUUCCACUGAUCGUUCAUUGUUCAAAAUUUGUGAAAAGUCCUCAUGAUUCAUUCGUUUGGAUCUGUUGAUUAAUCACUCGUUUACCUUGAGAAAAUUAGAGUGUUCAAAGCAGGCAAUCGCCUUGAAUAUGUUAGCAUGGAAUAAUAACAUAGGACUUUUGUUCUAUUUGUUGGUUGUUCGAGAACGGGAGUAAUGAUUGAUAGGGACGGUUGGGGGCAUCCGUAUUCCCAAGCGAGAGGUGAAAUUCUUGGACCUUGGGAAGACGAACAGAUGCGAAAGCGUUUGCCAAGGACGUUCUCUUUAAUCAAGAACGAAAGUUGGGGGAUCGAAGACGAUCAGAUACCGUCGUAGUCUCAACUAUAAACUAUGCCAGCUAGGGAUCGGCGGGAUCUUGUCACGGAUCCGUCGGCACCUUACGAGAAAUCAAAGCAUUUGGGUUCCGGGGGGAGUAUGGUCGCAAGGCUGAAACUUAAAGGAAUUGACGGAAGGGCACCACCAGGAGUGGAGCCUGUGGCUUAAUUUGACUCAACACGGGAAAACUUACCAGGUCCGGACAUAGUAAGGAUUGACAGAUUGAAAGCUCUUUCUUGAUUCUAUGGGUGGUGGUGCAUGGCCGUUCUUAGUUGGUGGAGUGAUUUGUCUGGUUAAUUCCGUUAACGAACGAGACCCGCGCCUGCUAAAUAGCUUGCGUACUACGGUACCGUUAGCUUCUUAGAGGGACCAUCCUGCGUCUAGCGGAAGGAAGUUGCGGGCAAUAACAGGUCUGUGAUGCCCUUAGAUGUUCUGGGCCGCACACGGGCUACACUGGAGGGUACAACGAGCUUUACGCCGUACCGAAAGGUAAGGCCAAUCUUUGAAUACCCUCCGUGAUUGGGAUAGACCCUUGCAAUUUUUGGUCUUCAACGAGGAAUUCCUAGUAAACGCGUGUCAACAACACGCAUUGAUUACGUCCCUGCUCCUAGUGCACACCGCCC